rnacentral:rRNA from 1 species
AGUGAACGCUGGCGGUAGGCCUAACACAUGCAAGUCGAACGGCAGCACAGUAAGAGCUUGCUCUUACGGGUGGCGAGUGGCGGACGGGUGAGGAAUACAUCGGAAUCUACUUUUUCGUGGGGGAUAACGUAGGGAAACUUACGCUAAUACCGCAUACGGCCUACGGGUGAAAGCAGGGGAUCUUCGGACCUUGCGCGAUUGAAUGAGCCGAUGUCGGAUUAGCUAGUUGGCGGGGUAAAGGCCCACCGAGGCGACGAUCCGUAGCUGGUCUGAGAGGAUGAUCAGCCACACUGGAACUGAGACACGGUCCAGACUCCUACGGGAGGCAGCAGUGGGGAAUAUUGGACAAUGGGCGCAAGCCUGAUCCAGCCAUACCGCGUGGGUGAAGAAGGCCUUCGGGUUGUAAAGCCCUUUUGUUGGGAAAGAAAAGCAGCAGGUUAAUACCCCGCUGUUCUGACGGUACCCAAAGAAUAAGCACCGGCUAACUUCGUG